UACAGAGGGGGCAAGCGUUAUUCGGAAUUAUUGGGCGUAAAGGGCGCGUAGGCGGCCGUGCAAGUGGAAGGUGAAAUCCUUCGGCUCAACCGAGGAACUGCCUUUCAAACUGCAUGGCUUGAGUCCGGGAGAGGUGAGUGGAAUUCCCAGUGUAGCGGUGAAAUGCGUAGAUAUUGGGAGGAACACCAGUGGCGAAGGCGGCUCACUGGACCGGAACUGACGCUGAGGCGCGAAAGCGUGGGGAGCAAACGGG
rnacentral:rRNA from 1 species